GGCGGGAGAGGGCGCUGGGCAGGCACCUGAGCCCGGAGGAGCCCAGCCCUUGCCCAGGCUCCCCCUUCCGAAACCGUGGGGGGAAGAUGCUGCCCCUCUCCAUAGGCAGCCCCUGGUAGCCCUCGCUCGCGAGGCUCCUCUGCAGCCUGAAUUAGUUGGUUGGAGGUGGUUGUUAUGUGCACAGGUCGGUGCUGUGUUCCGUGUCUAUCUGGGUUCUUACUAAAGAUGCAGAGUCAAAGGUAGGCUUGCAGUUGAUGGUGGCUUUCACAAAGGCCACGGCCAGACAGUCCUGAGUUCUUCCUUCAUUUUGUAAAGUCGGUGUCAUUGAUUAGGGCUUUCCCGGCAGAGCUGGCUGUAAGUGAGGCAUGUUCUGCCUCCAAAGGGGCUAUUGUAGGGAUGAGCCAGGUUUGGGUGCAGCCAAGGUGGUUUAAGAGCUUGCCACCUUUCAGUGCUCAUUAUCGCUUUCUGAGGGUAGCAUACAUUGACUGGUGACCCUGAUGCACUGUCGUAACUGUGUGUAGCCAUUUCUUAACCACCCCUAUCAGAAUGGUCUUAAUACUUACUUCCAGAGUGGUCAGCUGAGCAGCAAAACUGGAAGAUGUGAAGUGAUAAUAGCUCCUGAAAGGAAAUGUGUGGAAGAGAGAGCAGCUGAAGACAAUAAUCACUUAAACAGGAGGUGCUGUUGUCUGAGAGGUUCACAGUCAGCACCCUGAUUUUUUUGUUUGUUUUUUUUUGUUAAAACUGGCUAUUUGUGGCAAGACAUGAGAAAUUAAGAGCUAUGCCUAUGAAUUACAGCCUUACUGUCACAAAACUGCAGUUAAUAACAUUAAAGCACAUGAUGUACAGAUGGGUUUGCAACACAAAUGAAAAUGUUUCAAAAAAUGUCUUGGGUGUUUGUUCACUACUGUAAUGUUAAAUAUAUGAAGAAUUUUAAAAUUCUCAAAAUACGGACAUGCACAUACCUUCAUAAGCAGAUAGUUUUGGUGUGGGUUUUUUUGUUUUUUUUUUUUUUUUACUUCAUAAAACACACUACUAAAAUGUAAAUACAUUUUUGUAACAGAUACCUUUCAGGAUUUUCAAAAUUCUCAUAAUAGCCUUACUGUAGAAGUAGGUUAGAUAUUAGGGUAGGAAUAUGUUUUCCUUGUUAUAAAUCAAGGAUGAUGACUUGAUGGAGCAGCAUCUAUGAGCACAGCGUGUUUUUUAAAUAGAGGAUUUGGCAAAAAAGCCCACCUUUUUUAAAGUGAAGUACACUUAAGGGAAUAAAUGCUGUUAGUCUGGCUUUAAACUUUGAGAUGUGUAUCUGUUGGAUCACUGCUGUAAGCAAAUUUAAACUGAAUCUUUAGUUUUGUCUUUUAUUUGCUAUCCUAAAAUGUUUUCAUCAGAAUAUUAAUCAAUUUUUUAUCUUUUAAUUAUUUUUUUCACACCAGCUGUGUUCAUGGUUGGGUAGAAAAGUAUUUCAACCUUGUGGUGAGAAAAUUCUCUGACAAGGCCUAGUAUUUCUUGCCAAUGGUUACGUUCAGUUGUGCACUGUUCAGUGAUGGAUUGUCACUUGCUGAAUAAGCUAGAGGAGAAUCCCACCAUGAAUAAAGAUGCUUUUGAUUUUUAGAGUUAUCUUUAUGAGCAGGAACAUCAAAAUAUAUGGAAUGGGGAGGAAGUAGACUAGGAUGCUUUCAGUUAAGUUUCUGCUUUGUAUAGAAAUCUUUAUAGUGAUGACUGUUUUGAGCUCUUCGGUGAAAUAGUGUAUUAUUUUUCCUUGAUAAUAAAAUAUAUUUUAAAUUCAUUUGCUUCUGCUCACUAGCAAAUUCUCUUGCCCACACCUCUUAACAGGGAGGUCCAGCAUUUCUGUAGCUUUUGACUGCUAACCUGUUCCUUUCUUCUUUUAUGAUCUCUGGCUGUCAGUAUUUGGAGUGAAUUGAAAUUUUGAGCUUUUCAGUUGAUGCAUAGGGAAAGCCAGGGCUUUUCAAGGACUCACAAUAACAGCUUUCCUAGGUGUUUGUGUUUUGGCUUUUGUUCAGUUUUCUGUAGUAGUUGCUCUAUAAUUGAUUACCAGAUAAGUCAUUUUCCCACAACAAACCUUCUCAACCCUUUUCACUACUUCAUGUUUGGAAGUGUGGAGGAGUGUGCUUGGGGGGUGUGGUGUUUUCUUUGUUUUUAACUGCCUUGGGCAAAGGCACAUUAGAUAUUACGACAAAGCUUUGUCAGUGGUCUUGGUGCAUGAGAGAAUUUACCAGUUGACUUAGAACUGAUAAAUUAGAGGGACAGACUCUAUAGUGCAGCUUAUUUACUGGUUUGCUCACCUCCAUCUAUACUGUCUUAGUCAUGUCGUAACCUCUUUUGACAUAGGUUGUCUUUCUUCUGGUUUUAUGCAUCGAAAACUAAUGUGAUUCUGCACUCUGAGGCUCAUAGGCGCUGCAGCAAUAACCUUGUAUGCUCUGUGCCCUUCUGCUGUACAACAGUCAGCCAGGUGGCCUAGCUACGAAGGUUGCUUCUCCUGCCUGUGUAAUUACUGCUAUUAUUUCUUGGCCUUUUAAAGUGUUCUGCCCCUAGUGUUGUGUUUAAGAAUGUACCUCUGACUUGUCACUACCUUGGUUUUUUUUUUUUAUACGAACAGAGUUCUCCUCAAAGUAAGUUUGCAAUUUGUGUGAGGAAAGACUGGAGGUAGGAACAUGCAUGUCUGAAGGCCCCACAAGUCCUGUCAAAGAUUCUUAGGUAAACCUGCACAAUUAAAGAUCUGCAAUAUCCUUUCAAUAUCUAUUAAUCUUUGGUAGCUCAAGGGAAAAAUGAAAACCCUUGCUUCCAUAAACUGGUAUUUUUGGUUUCUGAAGGAUUUUCUUGAUAAUACAGUAUAUAUUGGCAACCAAAUGUACGUGUACUUGUGAAAGGAUUGCUGUGGCAUAAUGGAGUAGAAUGGAAAGGACCAGCAAUCACUGGGAUGCUAUGCCCAUAAAGCAGGUGUGCACUGACAAUAAUUUCUAAGCAUGUUAUUUCUUCACCUUGUUGGAUGUGUACCCGAGUGUACAGCCUGCUUCAGCAGGGCUUCCUCUUUCAGAGUUUGUGCAUUGUGAGAAUUUUUCUAUGGCAGGACAUUGCACUGAAGGUUUCUUGCUUUGGAGCCUAACUGAUCUAGUGGUCAAGAGAAAGGGUGUUUUUGUUUACAUCAUUGUGCUUUUGAGCAUACAUGUUCUAUUUCUUUGUUAAAGCCUAAGCUCUGAGAUACUUUGAGAAGUAGGAUAUUGCACUUAGACCAGUGGUCUAGUCUGUUAAAAGCAAAAUUCUGUAUAGUUUUGAAUGUUGCCAAUGACUGAAUCAGUUACUGACAUUGCUGGAAGGCAACAUAUACAGAAAUGCUUUAAAGGUGUAUUUUUCCUCUAUCUGAGUGGUACUGGAAACGAAAAUGCAGUAAUGAGAAUUGUAUAUCCUAUUAAGCAAAGCCUGCAGAUACUGUGUUGAAUGUUUUGCACAGUAAUUUGAAAAUAAACCAAAUAAGAUUGCUUAGUGUUAUCUUGCAAAAAUGUUCCAAGGUAUACAUUCAUAGCUGUGAGGAUUUGGGGGAGGGGGCAGCAGUGAUCAUAAGUUAAAAGUACAUGUGUUCAUACUAUUAUGAUUUUAUGGAAAUAAAAAUAUUGGUAUCUCAUAACUUCUGAGUGUGUGAUUUAGUUUGUUUCUUGUGUUUAAAAAUAGUGAACAAAUUCUGAGUUCUGUUGUGUAGUGUUGUACUAAUUUCCAUAACUACUGAAAUUUUGUAAAUGUUAAAUUUGCACCUCACAAGUAAUUGGUUGUGAUAGUGAUAGGCUGUUGUUAUUGUUGCUGUUUUUUGGGAUGCCUUUAGAAGUAGCUGACACAAACGUACUGCCUGUGCUCUAGUGAGACAAAUGUCUUGCCUGUGGGCUUAUUUAAAGUUAGUUAAUAGCUGAAAACCACCAAAACUCCAAAAUUCUGUGUGAUACACCAAAUUAAAGAUAACAAAUGUUUAUAUA